CCUCUCCGCCCCGCCGCCGCCUCUCGGCCGCCGCCGCCGCCGGGCAGAUAUGGGAAUUGUCUCAUAUGACUAUGAAGGCCAAGAAUCCCACUACCUGCCUUUGCAAGCUAGAGAACCGGAGAAGUGCAACAUGUAAUUCAGGGACUAUUUCUCCUCUGUGAUGACUGUCUACAAUGAGACCCCUCCUUGGAGCCAGCUGACUAUGGCCUAAAACUUCUACAAACUAUGCCAAAAGAUGCCUGGAGACAAAUGUUCAUAUGACAUUUUGUAUCCUUUAGGGAAGUUUUAUACAUCAGACCCCAACCAAAUUUCUAAACUGUUUCGAACAUUUCUGGAUUCACAGAAAAACUGGCAGGAAGACACUGCUUUUCUUGCUUCUCCUGGGACCUGGCAGGUUUUCUCCUAGUCUGUGCACUAGCUGCUCCCUUUGGGAAGAAAGCUCCUCCCAGAUACCAAACUGCCUUAACUUAAAGUUCUAACUCAAAUGUUAACUCCCUGAAGGGCAUAUUCUAACUGUACCACUUAAAAUUAUAUCUACUUUUCCCAUUUUAGCUUUCCUAGUUCCUCACCCUGCUCUGUAUAAUUUUGUCUUGCACUUAUAAUUUGUAAUACAUUAUAUACCUUACCCUUAUGCUACGGUUACUUUUUAUUAACAGCCAUAAUUCCUAUCCCUGGUAGAAUAUACAUUCCGUCAGGGAAGAAAUCUUAGUCUUUUGUUCACUGAUGAAUUCAUGAGCCAAGGACAAUAUCUGGCACAUUCUACAUUUUCAAUAAGUAUUUAUUGAAUAAGUGAAUAAAUGAAUCCUCCCCCUGAGAAAGUCAAAGUCAUCAAUGAUACUAGAAAUGAUAGUUUGUAAUCAUUAUGAAAUAGUGACUUUGAUUUGUUUAUAUGAAAAAGAAAUCAUCUAACAGAUGAUGGGAAGAUUCACAAAACACUCAAAUAUGCAGACUGACAAUAAAUGUGUAAACAGCCAGCAUUUUUAAUCUGCAUCAGAGGAACUUUCCCAGUAGCAGAAGGUCCUUGAUGCUGAGGCAUAAAUGGAAGCCAGCACUUCAACCUAAUUAGAUUUUACAAUGAAGAAUAUGAACAAAUCAAGGCUUUGUGACUAUUUUCAAUGGCUAUUAAAA
rnacentral:lncRNA from 1 species